rnacentral:rRNA from 1 species
ACUCAAAUGAAUUGACGGGGGCCCGCACAAGCGGUGGAGCAUGUGGCUUAAUUCGAGGCAACGCGAAGAACCUUACCUGGGCUUGACAUCGAGCGACCGGCGGUGAAAGCCGCCUUUCCCUUCGGGGACGCGAAGACAGGUGCUGCAUGGCUGUCGUCAGCUCGUGCCGUGAGGUGUUCGGUUAAGUCCGGCAACGAGCGCAACCCGUGUCGUCAGUUGCGACCAGGUCAAGCUGAGCACUCUGACGAGACUGCCCGUGUCAAGCGGGAGGAAGGCGCGGAUGACGUCAAGUCCGUAUGGCCCUUACGUCCAGGGCUGCACACGUGCUACAAUGGGCGGUACAGUGGGAAGCAAAGCCGCGAGGUGGAGCCAAUCCUGAAAACCGUCCUCAGUUCAGAUUGGAGUCUGCAACUCGACUCCAUGAAGUCGGAAUCGCUAGUAAAGGCGUAUCAGCUACGACGCCUUGAAUACGUUCCCGGGCCUUGUACACACCGCCCGU